AAAUACAUCGAUCAUAUCCAAAGCUUUAGAGGAUCUCAUAAGCUUUCUGUACAAAAUCUUCAAAACAAUCUGGUAAGCCUUGGAUCAAUACAAGCCUGUCAUAGUCAUAGCUAUGAAAUUACGCUUUAUUAGUCGCCAUACUCCAAAACCAAAUACGGCCAAAUAAGCACUAGACGUUCCAAAAAAAACAUCGAAAGACUCCUUAAUGUCCUUUUAAUUCCAUGGGGUAAAUUAACCAAGGUAGUUGUAAUUAGAAGGCUUUGUCCACCAAAAAGAAUGCGGUACCAAAAGCUGAACUCACAAUGAGCAGUGUAAGAGCACAAUGCAUGGGGGAACAAUCGGAGGGUUGUGGUUUCAUUAGGUGUACCCAAUAAACGGAGGUCGGAAAAAAUUUGAAAAUUAAUACUAGAGGGCUGU